AUGACACACGAACAACCAAUCGUACCAAUCCUCAAUACUAAAACCUUAUUGAUUUCCCCCACCACCCCUACUCCCCCCUUCUCCCCCGCCGUCUUUCGAACCCUCCUCAUCAUUAAAAAACAACAGGAAAAUGAGAGAGAGAGAAAGAAGAAAGAAGAAGAAGAGGGAAGGGAACAAAGGAAAAAGGAAGAAAAAGAUCGAAUGGAAAGACAGAAAACACUGACAGUUAAACACAUGGAGAGGAUGUCAAAGAAACUAAACCUACACACCCUCAUCCCUAAACCCAGCAACACUUCCACCUUCCGAACCCCCCCUACUUCUUCCUACCACAUCCUCCCUUCUCCUCCCUUCUCCAAACCCCUUAUUCAUACCCUUCCUAACAUCAAGGAAGAGGAGGAAGAGGAAAUCAAGGAGAAGACAAUGAUUAAGCAAAUGGAAAGGAUGUCAAGGAAACAAUCCUUUUUACCCACCAUCAUUCCAAAACCCACAUCCAUUGCCAGCUUCCCCACCCCCCCUACUUCUUUCUACCCCAUCCUCCCAACUCCUCCCUUCUCCAAACCCCUUAUUCAUACCCUUCCUAACAUCAAGGAAGAGGAAAUCAGGAAGAAGACAAUGAUCAAGCAAAUGGAAAAGAUGUCAAGGAAACAAUCCUUUUUACCCACCAUCAUUCCAAAACCCACAUCCAUUGCCAGCUUCCCCACCCCCCCUACUUCUUCCUACCCCAUCCUCCCUACUCCUCCCUUCUCCAAACCCAUCAUUCAUACCGUCCCUAACAUUAAGAAAAAGAAGGAGGAAAUGAAAAAGAAGGCAAUAAUGACCCAAGUAGAAAAGGUGUCAAGGAAACAAUCCUUCUUCCCCUCCAUCACUUCAAAACCCACCCCCAAUCCCACCUUCUCCCUCCCCUCUACUUCUCCCUUAUCCCUUGGCUCUACUCCUCCCGUCUCCAAACCUCUUGUUUAUAGCCUCCCCACCCCUCCCAGUCACACCCUCUCUCGCAAGAAUCGCAGGUUCCACCAUCACCUCCACCCACAACCGCCACUCCCCCCCCACUAG
rnacentral:lncRNA from 1 species